UUCUCCUUUUCGGAAUUCCGGUUGAGAUUCAAAUGUUGCCGGUCUGGACAUGUCUGGAAAACGACAGGACGCCCCUAGCGUGAAUCAUCACCACCAACAGAUGCACUUUGACGUGCUUGAAGAAAAUCAAGACUACCAAUUUCAUGUUCAAAAUUUGAUCGUGUGUGUAUCUCCCUGAAAGGAUUUGGUGCUCAGUUGUACUGGAUCUAAAAAAUGGCAGUGACUGGCAGCCAAGGACUCUAUAAAUCACGAGAACAAGAAAUGGUGUUUGCUGGAGGAAUAUUACCCAGGUGUAAUCUGACAUUUGGCUGUUACUUUUUGAGGCUGUGAAUUGUGAUGUCAACGCUUGUUGUUAUUCAACUUGUUGGCCGAGAGAAGUGACAGCCUGUCACGUCGCCAAAUGUUCGAUUGGCUCAAUGGACAAAGUGCUGGACAUUUUUUGGGAUAAUACCUUUGGAGGCUAAAGGUUAUCCAGGUUGGGUGGCCAUACUGAUUUGGAGGCUGACUUUCUCUGUGCAACAAAGUUUCAUCGACGAUGCGACCUCUGGCUGGGAUCUGGAUGGAGAAAAUGUUGGACCAUUUCUCGCAACUCUUUGCCGAUGCGUGGAUCGAAGGAUGGCACGAGAUACAUACACCAGGUUUUCGGAAUUCCGGUGGGGAUUCGAUUUUCCCGGUCUGGACAUGUCUGGAAAACGACAGGACGCCCAUAGCGGUAAGUUCUCAAACUAAGAGUUUGCGAAUUCAUUGAAACGUGUUACGGUGUUACAGUGUACUAGAAAUCUGCUGUUGGCGUUGAAUUAGAAUUUUGUUGCUUUUGUGGUAUUGCCAUUAGUGAAUCAUCACCACCAAUCAAUGCAAUUUGAGCUUUGACGUGCUUUGAGCUUUGACGACUACCAAUUUCAUUUUCAAAAUCUGGUUAUUACCCUUUUAAUGUUAUACAGCUGCUGCUGCUGCUAAAGGGAUUUUAGAAUACUUUUACUACCUUAUUUAGAUCAUGUGUGUAUCUCCCUGAAAGGAUUUUGUGCUCAGUUGUAUUGGAUAUCAAAAAUGGCAGGUGACUGCAUUCAUUUUACUUUUCUUCAUCAUACCUAGUUAAAGUAAAUAGUUAUACCCCUUUUCUCCAUCUAGUAUGCUUGAUAAUUGAUAACAAACAUAAACCCUAGUACCCUACAGCUACUGCCUACAUGGUGAAAUGAGGUGGAGGCAGGGAGAGAAAGAAAGCUCAUUGGCUGCGAUGGCUGCUUUCAAAAAUCCCUUUCUCUUCAAUUCCUUUUUUCUUCGUUUCAUGAAAGAGAUUUUCAGUACCCCAAUCCCCAACCUCAUUGUUCGAUUGCAAAGUGUCGGAUACAUGUAAAAUAUUUCUCGAGUUUGGUUUCUCGAGUUGGUUUAUCUGUUUCUGUCAGUGACUGGCAGCCAGCAAGGACUCUAUAUAAAUCACGAGAACAAGAAAAGGUGUUUGCUGGAGGAAUAUUACCCAGGUCUAAUCUGACUUUUGGUUUUUACUUUUUGAGGCUGUGAAUUUUGAUUCAACUUUAUCUUCUUGUUAUUCAACUGCGGUAACUCAAUUAAUAUCAUUAAUUUCUUGCUUUCAUUAAUUUUUUCUGCUCUUUCAUUGCCUUGGAGUUGGCCGAGAGAAUAAGUGACAGCCUGUCACGUCGCCAUAUGUUCGAUUAGCUCAACGGACAAGGUGGGACGACCAAUUUGGGACCUUUGGAGGCAAAAGGUUUCCAAGGUGGCCAUACUGAUUUGGAGGCUGACUUUCUCUGUGCAACAAAGGUAAGAGUGUAAGACACUGCUGCAUCUCACCUUAGUCCGACCAGUUCAACUCUAGACUUCCAGGCAAGCAUUAGGCCUAUUUAUUUAAUUUGGAAAAUUUCGUGUCAGUUUAUUUCAGUGUUAUAUUUCAAUAUUUGUAGUCAAAAGGAUAGGUCGAGCCCAAUGAAGUGCAUUUCGAGUGCCUGUUCGCUACCUACUAUUCGGUUGUGUUAGUUUCAUCGACGAUGCGACCUCUGGCUGGGAUCUGGAUGCAGAAAAUGUUGGACCAUUUCUCGCAACUCUUUGCCGAUGCGUGGAUCGAAGGAUGGCACGAGAUGUAUACACCAGGUAGGACCCCAAAUCAAAAUACAUUUAUUAUUGCGGACCAUAAGCUGUACCAUGUCGAGGUGAAUUAAGUUUACUAUCUCGUCUAAUUCUUUCGAGAGUGUCAUGAAAAGAUGAUUAAAUUCGAUAAGAGUGUAAUAGAGAAGUGUAUUUCAAUUGUGGCAUUAGAAGAUAUGUUCGAUGCUCCCAUUUUUUAGUCGAUUUGCAUGUAUAAAGAGUGCAAUGAAAUCAAAACUCGCAAGUCAAAUCUCUCCAUUUAUUUGCUUGGGCUUUUCCCAUGAUCAGUGCGAGAUGGCGUUGGCUGUCUACCUGGCCAUUUUUCAUACGAGUCGGUUUUGCUAUUUCCUAUAGAUUUUAGCCGAUUUUGGCUUGCUCUUGGGCAAUACUUUGUCGGAUACCCACUACUUGUUAAUGUUCGAGUCACCAUAGUUUUGUCGAUUGAAGAUGAAGGGGAAAAUAUUUCUUUGUAACAGAUUUUUGCAUACAUCUGACCGACGUAACUAUACUGGGCUUUUAGUUUUGUAUUUGAUUUUAGGGGUUCAUGUUUUGUUGACGAGAUUCGCUAUGGCUCACGGGGAGACUAUUGAGAUGGAGGAUUCCACCUUUAUUUCGUCCAAGGUUUUCACUCCGACAAAGUGAAGUGAACUCCUUAAACCUUACUUUUCUUCUUGAUUCCGCUUAACACUUAUAUUCGCUACUAUAUUUUUUUUCUAGUUGCGAUUAUUAUUUUUGGUCGUCGUUUUCUUGUUGACGUAAUUCUCUUGAUCUCGUCGGGCAUUUCCCCUCUCUCCUCGGUGCAGUGUAGUGUCCCGCCAGACAUCGUGAAACACGCAACGUACACACCUGAAUGACGACGCUAUUUCUCUGUGUUUACGCCGUGACUGAGACAUGCAAUCGGCUGUAUAUAUUUUUUUGUUGGCAGCAGCAGCGCUAGGACCAGUCUAUAUCAUUCGUUUGUCUGUCGGCUCUUGAAACUGUGCACCCAUUUCGGCAGCUUUUCUAAACAAUUUCCGAUUUUCUUUAGCAGAUAGGGGC
rnacentral:lncRNA from 1 species